AAUAUUAUAUAUUAAAACAUUUCUUUGACCUAGAAAUUUAUUUUUGUCUUCUGAUUUUAAAAGAAAUUAAAACAAUUCAUGGAUCCCUAAGAGUAUUACGGGCCCUAUGCACUAUGACUUCUGUGCCUGAUGAAAAAGGUGACAGCAAAGCAAAGUGAACAUGGAAACAAAAGAUACCAACUGACUUAUUUUGGUGACCAUUUGAAGAUAAAGACACUGAAACUGAAGCCUGGGCCCUUGGCCACCGCGCUCCAUUCCUUCACACGCAUCCCUACUCCUUACCCAUAA
rnacentral:lncRNA from 1 species